AAUAGAUACCCGGGUAGUCCACGCCGUAAACGAUGAGUGCUAAGUGUUAGAGGGUUUCCGCCCUUUAGUGCUGCAGCAAACGCAUUAAGCACUCCGCCUGGGGAGUACGGCCGCAAGGCUGAAACUCAAAGGAAUUGACGGGGGCCCGCACAAGCGGUGGAGCAUGUGGUUUAAUUCGAAGCAACGCGAAGAACCUUACCAGGUCUUGACAUCUCCUGACAACCCUAGAGAUAGGGCGUUCCCCUUCGGGGGACAGGAUGACAGGUGGUGCAUGGUUGUCGUCAGCUCGUGUCGUGAGAUGUUGGGUUAAGUCCCGCAACGAGCGCAACCCUUGAUCUUAGUUGCCAGCAUUCAGUUGGGCACUCUAAGGUGACUGCCGGUGACAAACCGGAGGAAGGUGGGGAUGACGUCAAAUCAUCAUGCCCCUUAUGACCUGGGCUACACACGUGCUACAAUGGAUGGUACAAAGGGCUGCGAGACCGCGAGGUUAAGCGAAUCCCAUAAAACCAUUCUCAGUUCGGAUUGCAGG
rnacentral:rRNA from 1 species